AUAUUUGCAUCAUCUGGACUCAAGACUCCAUUCCAUUUUGCAGUGGCCUUUUGCUUUCAACUCAAUCUCAAGAGUGUAAUUAACUUGGAAAUAAAGACAGUGAAACCAGCAGGUGGAGGAGGUGGCUGCCGCUUGUUUCCAAUACAGCAGAGAGAGAGAGAGAGCAGAAGAGCCCCCCAAUCAAAUCCAGCUGACGCGGUGUCCAUCAAUUAAUAACAGAAAGAAGAAGAGGAUCCGGUUGCCACCCAACCACCUCCCC
rnacentral:lncRNA from 1 species